rnacentral:rRNA from 1 species
UACAGAGGUGGCGAGCGUUAUUCGGAAUUAUUGGGCGUAAAGGGCGCGUAGGCGGCCAAGCAAGUCCUGGGUGAAAUCCCACGGCUCACCCGUGGAACUGCUGGGCAUACUGGCGAUCUUGGGCCAUUCAGGGCGACUGGAACAAGCGGUGGAGCGGUGAAAUGCGUAGAUAUCGCUUGGAACGCCGAAGGUGAAACAGGUCGCUGGGAUGUGCCGACGCUGAGACACGAAAGCCAGGGAGCAAACGGG